AUUUUGGACAAUGGGGGACACCCUGACCCAGCCAUCCCGCCUGUAUGAUGAACGCCUUCGGGUUGUAUAGUACUUUUGGCAGUGAAGAUAAGGUAUCCCCUAAUACGGGAUACUGCUGUCGGUAUCUGCAGAAUAAGCACCGGCUAACUACGUGCCAGCAGCCGCGGUAAUACGUAGGGUGCAAGCGUUAAUCGGAAUUACUGGGCGUAAAGCGUGUGUAGGCGGUUCGGAAAGAAAGAUUUGAAAUCCCAGGGGUCAACCUUGGAGCUGCAUUUUUAACUGCCGGGCUAGAGUAUGUCAGAGGGGGGGUAGAAUUCCACGUGUAGCAGUGAAAUGCGUAGAUAUGUGGAGGAAUACCGAUGGCGAAGGCAGCCCCCUGGGAUAAUACUGACGCUCAGACACGAAAGCGUGGGGAGCAAACAGG
rnacentral:rRNA from 1 species